rnacentral:tRNA from 1 species
AUGUAAAGAGAAGAUUAAUACCUCAUAAAUGGAAUUACAAC